GGGAAACUGCCCGAUGGAGGGGGAUAACUACUGGAAACGGUAGCUAAUACCGCAUAACGUCGCAAGACCAAAGUGGGGGACCUUCGGGCCUCACACCAUCGGAUGUGCCCAGAUGGGAUUAGCUAGUAGAUGGGGUAAUGGCUCACCUAGGCGACGAUCCCUAGCUGGUCUGAGAGGAUGACCAGCCACACUGGAACUGAGACACGGUCCAGACUCCUACGGGAGGCAGCAGUGGGGAAUAUUGCACAAUGGGCGCAAGCCUGAUGCAGCCAUGCCGCGUGUAUGAAGAAGGCCUUCGGGUUGUAAAGUACUUUCAGCGGGGAGGAAGGCGGUGAAGUUAAUAGCUACACCGAUUGACGUUACCCGCAGAAGAAGCACCGGCUAACUCCGUGCCAGCAGCCGCGGUAAUACGGAGGGUGCAAGCGUUAAUCGGAAUUACUGGGCGUAAAGCGCACGCAGGCGGUCUGUCAAGUCGGAUGUGAAAUCCCCGGGCUUAACCUGGGAACUGCAUUCGAAACUGGCAGGCUAGAGUCUUGUAGAGGGGGGUAGAAUUCCAGGU
rnacentral:rRNA from 1 species